CUGUAGAGAGAGACGAGCCACUCAGUAUUUAUGAGAUGUCUGCACCUUUAUCCCUAAGCCUGACUAUUAGCAAUACGCAUAUCCUAUAUAGAAUCUAUUACAGAGCUACGUUAUCUCCACACCUUUUGAGGAGGACAGAAGGGACUGGACCGUGUUGGAGCUGCCGCCUGGCAGGUGGUGGGCCUGGGAUCUAGCCGCCUCUCCUGCCCUGCCUUCCUCUUCCCCAAGGGGAUGGGCCCAGGAGGCAGCUGGGUUGCAUGGAGAGGUCCAGGAGGGACCGGAGGUGUGACAGAUACUGUGAGCCCGGCGGGCCGCGCCUGGCUGGGUGCCUCGGUACUUGAAUUCUGUCUUGUUUUCCGCAUUGUGUCUGUCCACCCGAGUUCUCUGUCGUCACUUAACUUUGCAUUGGAUUUGGUUGUUGUACUUUGCCCCUGAAUGUGGACAAAGCUGUGGGCAAGAGGUCAGCAGGACCCGCCUGGGGGUGCCGGCGUUGGUGACUGCGGGUCGGGGCUCCUAGAACAUAGGAGCCGGCUGCCUGGCCUCCUUUCUCCUCCAGGAAGAGUCAUUCUUUGGCAUUUGUGUUUAGAGCCAGGAGGAAGGCGGAAGGUAGGGAGGGAGGGCUGGUCCCCCUCUGAGGGGGCUCUAGUGCCUGACCCUGACCUGUCCUCAUUCGACAGCUGAAACUGUUAAGCGCUGGCCCAGUCCCCCCACCCCACCCAGCCGUGUACUGCCUGGGCUCCCCUCAAAGGGAAAUUUUUAUGGAAACAUCUUGGCAGCAAGUGGAAAAAGAUCUAUGGCCCAUGAACCAACUGAAAACUCCAAGAACCCUCUGUCUGCCUCUGCCAGCAGCGAGUCCUAAGCGCAGAAUCCAGAGCUCGUAGCUGUCCUCAGCUGUAACUACUGUUUCAGAAUGUUGCUGCUGCAUACUUUUGUCAUGUCAGCCAGCCAGCUCCGUGGGUGAGAGUGUGCGUGUGCGCGUGUCUGUGUGUGUGUGCGUGUCUGUGUGUGCACGUCUGUGCGUCUGUGUGUGCGCGUCUGUGCAUGUGUGUGUCUGUGCGUGUGUGCGUCUGUGUGUGUGCGUCUGUGUGCGCGUGUGUGUGCGCGUCUGUGUGUAUGUGUGCACGCGCGUCUGUGUGCACGUGCGUGUCUCUGCACGCGUGUCUGUGUAUGUGUGCACGCGUGUGUCUGUGUGUGUGCACGCGCGUGCACGUCACCACCGGAGCAUUUAGGGUUUGGUACAAGAUGGUUCUAAAAUGGCAAAGGUUUUUCGUGUUUGUUUGUUUUGUUUCUUUGGAAAAAGAAAAGGAAAGGAAAAUCAUGCAGAAUCGCAAGCAUUCAGACUGGACGACCGGCUCGUAUUCCGAUCAGUCGCUUCCAUUGUUAGCAUCGUACACGAUUGUGAUUUUUAUGUCAAAAGAAGCCAAAACUUGCAAUACUAUUUUUAGCAGACAAAAAAAAGAACUAAGUAUAAAAUGUAUAAAUAUUUUUGACUUGAAGAUUUGGAUGGCACUGGGUGCAAGUAGAGCAUCCAUCCUUCGGAUGGAAUGUUUGGAAAAAAGAGACUUUUAAAAAGGAGACGGUUGUUUUAAAGAGUCUGUUUAGGGGUUAAAGUACUGUAACUCACGACUGUUAAAAAAUAAAUUUUCCUGUGCUGUAAAGGAAGGUUUCACAGUACCACUGAGUUAGAUUUCAGCCACAGAUGCUUAGCUUUUUUUUUUUGUCUUUUUUUUAAGGAGGAAGCCUUUGUUUUGUUUUCCUGAGCCCUCACUCUGUUUUUGUGCUGUUACUCGGUAGAGUCAAGACUGUUACUUUUUAGCCAUGGCUGACAUUGUAUCAAUAACUAAAACUGAAACAUUCAAAAGCGAACAGGGAAACCGAGGGCUUCAAGCGUGCUCAGAGCCGUUUCAGACAGUGGAAAUCCAUGACAAACAAAAGGAUGUGAUCAUUAAUUGUAAAGCGCUUUGUAAAAUUCACAUUUACAAAAUAAUAAAGUCAGUUCAAACCU
rnacentral:lncRNA from 1 species